rnacentral:rRNA from 1 species
UACCAGCACCCCGAGUGGUCGGGACGUUUAUUGGGCCUAAAGCAUCCGUAGCCGGUUCUACAAGUCUUCCGUUAAAUCCACCUGCUUAACAGAUGGGCUGCGGAAGAUACUAUAGAGCUAGGAGGCGGGAGAGGCAAGCGAUACUCGAUGGGUAGGGGUAAAAUCCGUUGAUCCAUUGAAGACCACCAGUGGCGAAGGCGGCUUGCCAGAACGCGCUCGACGGUGAGGGAUGAAAGCUGGGGGAGCAAGCCGG